rnacentral:ncRNA from 1 species
CUGCGAGGACGACCUCCCCGAUCUGGUCCAUAGCCGGGACGACCCGG